GACGAACGCUGGCGGCGUGCUUAACACAUGCAAGUCGAACGGAAAGGCCCUGCUUUUGUGGGGUGCUCGAGUGGCGAACGGGUGUGUAACACGUGAGUAACCUGCCCUUGACUGUGGGAUAACUUCAGGAAACUGGGGCUAAUACCGGAUAGGAGCUCCUGCUGCAUGGGGGGGGUUGGAAAGUUUCGGCGGUUGGGGAUGGACUCGCGGCUUAUCAGCUUGUUGGUGGGGUAGUGGCUUACCAAGGCUUUGACGGGUAGCCGGCCUGAGAGGGUUACCGGCCACAUUGGGACUGAGAUACGGCCCAGACUCCUACGGGAGGCAGCAGUGGGGAAUAUUGCACAAUGGGCGGAAGCCUGAUGCAGCAGCGCCGCGUGCGGGAUGACGGCCUUCGGGUUGUAAACCGCUUUCGCCUGUGACGAAGCGUGAGUGACGGUAAUGGGUAAAGAAGCACCGGCUAACUACGUG
rnacentral:rRNA from 1 species